rnacentral:rRNA from 1 species
GUGGGGAAUUUUGGACAAUGGGCGCAAGCCUGAUCCAGCAAUGCCGCGUGCAGGAAGAAGGCCUUCGGGUUGUAAACUGCUUUUGUACGGAACGAAACGGUCCGGGUUAAUACCCUGGGCUAAUGACGGUACCGUAAGAAUAAGCACCGGCUAACUACGUGCCAGCAGCCGCGGUAAUACGUAGGGUGCAAGCGUUAAUCGGAAUUACUGGGCGUAAAGCGUGCGCAGGCGGUUUUGUAAGACAGGCGUGAAAUCCCCGGGCUCAACCUGGGAAUUGCGCUUGUGACUGCAAGGCUGGAGUGCGGCAGAGGGGGAUGGAAUUCCGCGUGUAGCAGUGAAAUGCGUAGAGAUGCGGAGGAACACCGAUGGCGAAGGCAGCCUCCUGGGAUAACACUGACGCUCAGGCACGAAAGCGUGGGGAGCAAACAGGAUUAGAUACCCUAGUAGUCC